CCGAACCGACUGAUGUUGAAAAAUCAGCGGAUGAGUUGUGGAUAGGGGUGAAAUGCCAAUCGAACUCGGAGCUAGCUGGUUCUCCCCGAAAUGUGUUUAGGCGCAGCGCUUGGUGUUAUAGCUUAGGGGUAAAGCACUGUUUCGGUGCGGGCUGGUAAUUCGGUACCAAAUCGAGGCAAACUCUGAAUACUAAGUGAAUAACCAAGCAGUAAGACUGUGGGGGAUAAGCUCCAUUGUCAAGAGGGAAACAGCCCAGACCACCAGUUAAGGCCCCUAAAUAAUUACUAAGUGAUAAAGGAGGUGAGAAGACUUAGACAACCAGGAGGUUUGCUUAGAAGCAGCAAUCCUUUAAAGAGUGCGUAAUAGCU
rnacentral:rRNA from 11 species